rnacentral:siRNA from 1 species
UCUCCGUUAUCUAGAACA